UACGGAGGGGGCUAGCGUUGUUCGGAAUUACUGGGCGUAAAGCGCACGUAGGCGGCUUUGUAAGUUAGAGGUGGAAGCCCGGGGCUCAACUCCGGAAUUGCCUUUAAGACUGCAUCGCUAGAAUUGUGGAGAGGUAAGUGGAAUUCCGAGUGUAGAGGUGAAAUUCGUAGAUAUUCGGAAGAACACCAGUGGCGAAGGCGGACUUACUGGACACGUAUUGACGCUGAGGUGCGAAAGCGUGGGGAGCAAACAGG
rnacentral:rRNA from 1 species